GACGAACGCUGGCGGCGUGCCUAAUACAUGCAAGUUGAGCGAUGAAGAUUGGUGCUUGCACCAAUUUGAAGAGCAGCGAACGGGUGAGUAACGCGUGGGGAAUCUGCCUUUGAGCGGGGGACAACAUUUGGAAACGAAUGCUAAUACCGCAUAACAACUUUAAACAUAAGUUUUAAGUUUGAAAGAUGCAAUUGCAUCACUCAAAGAUGAUCCCGCGUUGUAUUAGCUAGUUGGUGAGGUAAAGGCUCACCAAGGCGAUGAUACAUAGCCGACCUGAGAGGGUGAUCGGCCACAUUGGGACUGAGACACGGCCCAAACUCCUACGGGAGGCAGCAGUAGGGAAUCUUCGGCAAUGGACGAAAGUCUGACCGAGCAACGCCGCGUGAGUGAAGAAGGGUUUCGGAUCGUAAAACUCUGUUGGUAGAGAAGAACGUUGGCGAGAGUGGAAAGCUCAUCAAGUGACGGUAACUACACAGAAAGGGACGGCUAACUACGUG
rnacentral:rRNA from 1 species